GGAGGGCCGGCCGAGCGGUAAGGCACCGGCUUGCUAAGCCGCGGUCCGGACAUGAUCCGGCGCGCGUUCGAUCCGCGCGCCCUCCG
rnacentral:tRNA from 1 species